AUGCAGGUCAUUAGCAUAGAUUAUGCAGAUGACGGGCGUUAUCUUCAGCACCUGAGAUGCGCUCGGACACACGGGAGUGAGAGCGCGAGAAGCAGCUGCAGUCAGACGGGAAUAUGCGUCGGUAGUGGCCACCGGUGGAAGACUGUUAGGGGAGAAUCUCAUUCCAUUUCAAGUGAUUCACAUGAGUCACGGAUGGAUCCUAUUUUAACUCCCGGAAAGAAACUUUUUUUACUCUAUUUAUUAUUCUUUAUCUUAAUAUAUCAAGCACAUAUCACGUGGUGCACUGAAAGUCUGAAUUUAACACACCAGCAUGAUUAUGAAAACAGCAGCGAGAGCAGCAGGAUAAUGCUGGAGAAAUGGGAUCCCGCUUCCCAAAACGAGCAGAGGUCCUUAGAGAGCAACACAUCAUCAACAGAGCAAACAGAAGCACAGAAGCCAUCACUCCGCAGAGCCACCGGUAAGAACUGA
rnacentral:lncRNA from 12 species